AUUGAACGCUGGCGGCAUGCCUUACACAUGCAAGUCGAACGGCAGCACGGACUUCGGUCUGGUGGCGAGUGGCGAACGGGUGAGUAAUGUAUCGGAACGUGCCCAGUCGUGGGGGAUAACGUAGUGAAAAUUACGCUAAUACCGCAUACGAUCUAUGGAUGAAAGCGGGGGAUCGCAAGACCUCGCGCGAUUGGAGCGGCCGAUAUCAGAUUAGGUAGUUGGUGGGGUAAAGGCCCACCAAGCCAACGAUCUGUAGCUGGUCUGAGAGGACGACCAGCCACACUGGAACUGAGACACGGUCCAGACUCCUACGGGAGGCAGCAGUGGGGAAUUUUGGACAAUGGGCGAAAGCCUGUUCCAGCCAUUCCGCGGGCAGGAUGAAGGCCCUCGGGUUGUAAACUGCUUUUGUACAGAACGAAAAGGUUUCUACUAAUACUAGGAGCUCAUGACGGUACUGUAAGAAUAAGCACCGGCUAACUACGUGCCAGCCGCCGCGGUAA
rnacentral:rRNA from 1 species